CGACCGGCGCACGGGUGAGUAACGCGUAUGCGACCUGCCCGUUGCAGGGGGGGUAAUCGGGAGAAAUCCCGUCUAAUACCGCGUAACGCCGCGGGGCUGCAUGGCCCUGCGGCCAAAGGGAGCGAUUCCGGCAACGGAUGGGCAUGCGUGACAUUAGCUAGUUGGCGGGGCAACGGCCCACCAAGGCGACGAUGUCUAGGGGUUCUGAGAGGAAGGUCCCCCACACUGGUACUGAGACACGGACCAGACUCCUACGGAAGGCAGCAG
rnacentral:rRNA from 1 species